UUACAUUGUACUAAGAAAGGUUGAAUGUUACCUCUUGUGAAAAUAAUUCACAAAAAAAAAAAUGAACCACGAAAUCAAAAUUCCGAACGAAACCUCAAACUUUAACUUUUGUCUCAAUUUUUCCCACUAGAUGUACGUUUCCUCUUGCUUGUUUUGGUUCUCUUUUGUUUUGUUAUGUCCUUUAAAUGUUAUUGUCUUUCUUUGUUUUCUAAAUGUUUUAGUUUUUGUGGUUGUAUGUGUUGUUUAC
rnacentral:lncRNA from 1 species